rnacentral:rRNA from 1 species
UGGGGGAUAUUGCACAAUGGGCGAAAGCCUGAUGCAGCGACGCCGCGUGGGGGAUGAAGGCUUUCGGGUUGUAAACCUCUUUCGCUAUCGAACAAGGCCCGCUUAGGGUGGGUUGAGGGUAGGUGGAGAAGAAGCGCCGGCUAACUACGUGCCAGCAGCCGCGGUAAUACGUAGGGCGCGAGCGUUGUCCGGAAUUAUUGGGCGUAAAGGGCUUGUAGGCGGCUUGUUGCGCCUGCUGUGAAAACGCGGGGCUUAACUUCGCGCGUGCAGUGGGUACGGGCAGGCUUGAGUGUGGUAGGGGUGACUGGAAUUCCAGGUGUAGCGGUGGAAUGCGCAGAUAUCUGGAGGAACACCGAUGGCGAAGGCAGGUCACUGGGACAUUACUGACGAUGAGGAGCGAAAGCAUGGGUAGCGAACAGG